CUUAAGCAUAUCAAUAAGCGGAGGAAAAGAAACUAACAAGGAUUCCCCUAGUAACUGCGAGUGAAGCGGGAAAAGCUCAAAUUUAAAAUCUGGCAGUCUUCGAUUGUCCGAGUUGUAAUCUAGAGAAGCAUUAUCCGCGCUGGACCGUGUACAAGUCUCCUGGAAUGGAGCGUCAUAGAGGGUGAGAAUCCCGUCUUUGACACGGACUGCCAGGGCUUUGUGAUGUGCUCUCAAAGAGUCGAGUUGUUUGGGAAUGCAGCUCAAAAUGGGUGGUAAAUUCCAUCUAAAGCUAAAUAUUGGCGAGAGACCGAUAGCGAACAAGUACCGUGAGGGAAAGAUGAAAAGAACUUUGGAAAGAGAGUUAAACAGUACGUGAAAUUGCUGAAAGGGAAACGCUUGAAGUCAGUCGCGUUGUCCGGGAAUCAACCUUGCUUUUGCUGGGCGUACUUCCUGGUCAACGGGUCAGCAUCAAUUUUGACCGUUGGAUAAAGUUGCUGGGAAUGUGGCAUCUUCGGAUGUGUUAUAGCCCAGUUUCGCAUACAACGGUUGGGAUUGAGGAACUCAGCACGCCGCAAGGCCGGGUUUUUAACCACGUUCGUGCUUAGGAUGCUGGCAUAAUGGCUUUAAUCGACCCGUCUUGAAACACGGACCAAGGAGUCUAACAUGCCUGCGAGUGUUUGGGUGGAAAACCCGAGCGCGUAAUGAAAGUGAAAGUUGAGAUCCCUGUCGUGGGGAGCAUCGACGCCCGGACUUGAACUUCUGUGACGGAUCCGCGGUAGAGCAUGUAUGUUGGGACCCGAAAGAUGGUGAACUAUGCCUGAAUAGGGUGAAGCCAGAGGAAACUCUGGUGGAGGCUCGUAGCGAUUCUGACGUGCAAAUCGAUCGUCAAAUUUGGGUAUAGGGGCGAAAGACUAAUCGAACC
rnacentral:rRNA from 1 species